rnacentral:lncRNA from 1 species
GUCAUUCAAGGUGGGACCUUUAUUUGCUGCAGGGGAGAACAGCUUCUCAGAGCCUACAGAAGCCGCAUGGCCCCGCCGGGCGCUGCAGGGGGCGCGGAGCCGCCCGGGGCCGCCGCAGGGCUCAGCGCUCCCGGCCCGGGCUGCCCGCGGCCCCGCCGCUCCUCGGCUCCUCCGGGCGUCCUCGCUCGCUGUGUCUGAUCGCAGCCUUUGGGUUUGUUCUCGUCUCGCCGCCGAAGUUCGCGCCCCCGCCGCUCAGCCCCGGAGCCGCCGCUCGGACGCCGCUAUGGGUCCAUGACCGCGGGGCGCGCCGGGGAGGGGGGGGACGGCAGAAAAAAACACCCAAAAAAAG